GGACCGUUGGAGGGUGGGAGUGAGACCCGUUACAAAAUACUAGUGUGACAAUUUCUUGACCGUGACAUCUCUAACGUUAGUUGGAUUACAUUUCUGUAUAAGUACGGUUUUAAGUGUAAGUUAUUCUGUUUAAUUUGCUUAGAGUUUGUUUGUAGAGUCACUUAUACUUAAAUGAAGUUUAAAUGUAAAAUGCUUAAAGAUAAUUGUAUAGUCACUAUUAACUAUUACUAUUGUCACAUGUAUAAUUGUUUGUUUUAGGACACACUUUGCCAUGCAGGCCACUGGAUGCUGACUACUGAAGGUUAGGUUGUGUGUGACGGUGCUCAGCACAGCUUCAUGUCUGGCCUUCCCACUCUGUUCAUAACAUGUUACAUAUUCAGGCUUGAGUACCAGGAUGGGGCAGCAUGUACUUGGAGUCCAAUGAAAGAUAUUAAUCCAGAGAGUGGAACAAGAAGCAUCAUCUAAAAUGCCAGGAAACAGAAGAAACAGGUUGCAGUGAACCCACAUGUUGCCGCUCUUCUAAACACAAUGAUGAAUAUUCAGUGUAAUCGAUGAAAAUUCCAGCUACUUGUUGUGCUCUGAUGGAUCAAGAUGUGGACCGUUUUAGAGACUCACUUGGGCCUUGUUUUGCAAUGUUGUUUCAUGAUGGUAAUGUUGGUUAACGUGUUGUUUAAACAUGAAUGUUUAAAGAGCCA